UUUCCCAUCUACUCUUCUCCAUCUAACCAAAACUCAGCUCAAGUUUUAUAGAUCAGAGAAGAGGGUGUUCAAGUUGAAGAUCCAGCAGAGCCGGUAGACAUGGAGGGAGUGUUAAUGGUGGGUGGAGUUGAUUACAGAGAGAAAUUAUUAUACCCUGAAAUGGGAAAAGGUGGAGGGUGUAGGAUGAAGGAGACAAGUGCUGGAUUUUUGAGUGGAAGACAGAAGAAAUUGGUGUGUGUUACCACUGGUAACUCUUGCUUGGGAGUUCACAUUGUCAAGCAACUCUUGGCUCGUGCUUACCUUGUUCGUAUCACCGUUCAAAACCAAGUGGAAAUUGAGGAGAUGAAGGAGAUGUUAGAAGAGGAAGAAAUGAAUAUGGUGGAGAGUGUAGUGGUGGCAAAGAUGGGAGAUUUGGGCAGCCUUUGUGAAGCUUUUUCUGGUUGCCAUGCUGUCUUCCACACCUCUUCAUUUAUUGAUCCACAUGGUCUCUCUGGUUAUUCUGAAAAAAUGGCAAUUUUGGAGAGGGAAGGAGCAAGAAAUGUGGUAGAAGCCUGCAGUAGGGCUGCAUAUGUGAAGAGAUGUAUUUUCACUUCUUCUCUUGUUGCUUCCAUCUGGAAGGUCAACUCCUUCAACUCCAGCAUGCUUAUUGAUGAGACUUGUUGGAGUGAUGAAGAUUUUUGCAGACAGAAUAAGCUUUGGUUUGCACUGGGAAAGACAAUGGCGGAGAAGAUUGCUUGGAGAAUGUCAAGAGAAUUGAGAGUGAAUCUUGUUACCUUAUGCCCUGCCCUUAUGAUAUCUCCAUCCUCCUUUCAAUGUUCUGUUACACACACCUCUUUGCCCUAUCUUAAAGGUGGGCAGAUGAUGCUACAAGGAGGGGUGUUGGCAAGUGUAGAUGUGGAAAAGGUGGCUGCUGCACAUUUGCAUGUUUACGAAGGUAUGGAUAAUGGAGCCAGCGGGAGAUAUUUGUGUUUCGACAGAGUGGUGAAAAGGGUAAGCGAAGCAAUUGAGAUUGAAAAUAGGUUAAAGAUACACGGAGUCCUGUGGAGAGGAAGACCAGUGGAUGAUGAUGAAGAAGAACUUCAGACCAAUCUCACUAACUCUAAGCUUCUCAAACUGUUACUUCAAUCUUCUCUAUCCUCAUCUUGCAAACAACAGGCUGAAUAGUUGCAAAUUUGUUCUCUGAAAGAAAACCAUGAGGAAGACAAUCGUUGCUGCGUUUUGGUUGAUGCUUCUGUUCAUCUCCACCCCAGGUGGGGUAACGACAAGCGCUCCUAAAUUUUGCAGGGACAACUUCGUGCAACCAGGUGGAUGCUCAGGAAGUCAGUGUUAUGAAUUCUGCAGCUCUAAACGUUAUAAACAUUAUAAGGAACUCUUUGACUGUUCAUGUGUGGAUAGUAAAACUUGUCAG